CCUCCUCAUUGGCCCUCCCUUCCUCUAGUGGGGGGUGCCUCCUGAUUGUUCGGGAGCCAGCCACUUGGAGCCUCUGCCACCCCUCCCCUAGGCCCUGGCUGUUCUGUCCAUCAGGCAAUACCUCCCAGCUGUAACUGCCUUAUUCCAUUCUUUGAAAUCAUGGAAACUUGACUUCUCCCCUAAAAGAGUGGACCUCUGGUCACCUGAUCCACUAUUAAGUAUACUUCCUUCAUAGCAGCACUUUACACAAUGAGCCAGGAGCAUAACUAAAUGGGGACUAUGACUUUUCAGUCUUUCCAAAAUGGUGUGUUCUAAGGAGAGUUCUGGACACUGCCCUUAUACUCUGUAUUCUGCUUUUUACUCAGAUGAAGAAAUUGAGACUCAGAUUAAAUGGCUUAACUCAAUAUCUCACAGGGUACAAGGGGCAUUUGAACUCCCUCCUCUUCAUCAUGUCUGGCUUGCCUCAGAUGGCUGAGAAAUGGACCAGGAGCAGUAAAACGGGAGAAAACAGACUACAGAAGAAUGCAGCAGAGGACAGCUCAGAAAGGGCACAGACGAGCAUCCUGGAAAACCUAAAAAAGCAUUCACAAUGGCAGGUCAUGGUUUCAUAGAUCCUUCUCCUCCUUUCUGGUCUUUACUCAUUGAUAUGUUACUGUCUGCUAAGUCUGAAAUAAAACACUUUUAAA